rnacentral:rRNA from 2 species
GGCAGAGUAACUGUUGCCGGCGUGACGGUAUCCAAACCAGAAAGCCACGGCUAACUACGUGCCAGCAGCCGCGGUAAUACGUAGGUGGCAAGCGUUAUCCGGAUUUAUUGGGCGUAAAGCGAGCGCAGGCGGUUUUUUAAGUCUGAUGUGAAAGCCCUCGGCUUAACCGAGGAAGCGCAUCGGAAACUGGGAAACUUGAGUGCAGAAGAGGACAGUGGAACUCCAUGUGUAGCGGUGAAAUGCGUAGAUAUAUGGAAGAACACCAGUGGCGAAGGCGGCUGUCUGGUCUGUAACUGACGCUGAGGCUCGAAAGCAUGGGUAGCGAACAGGAUUAGAUACCCUGGUAGUCCAUGCCGUAAACGAUGAAUGCUAGGUGUUGGAGGGUUUCCGCCCUUCAGUGCCGCAGCUAACGCAUUAAGCAUUCCGCCUGGGGAGUACGACCGCAAGGUUGAAACUCAAAGGAAUUGACGGGGGCCCGCACAAGCGGUGGAGCAUGUGGUUUAAUUCGAAGCAACGCGAAGAACCUUACCAGGUCUUGACAUCUUUUGAUCACCUGAGAGAUCAGGUUUCCCCUUCGGGGGCAAAAUGACAGGUGGUGCAUGGUUGUCGUCAGCUCGUGUCGUGAGAUGUUGGGUUAAGUCCCGCAACGAGCGCAACCCUUAUGACUAGUUGCCAGCAUUUAGUUGGGCACUCUAGUAAGACUGCCGGUGACAAACCGGAGGAAGGUGGGGAUGACGUCAAAUCAUCAUGCCCCUUAUGACCUGGGCUACACACGUGCUACAAUGGAUGGUACAACGAGUUGCGAGACCGCGAGGUCAAGCUAAUCUCUUAAAGCCAUUCUCAGUUCGGACUGUAGGCUGCAACUCGCCUACACGAAGUCGGAAUCGCUAGUAAUCGCGGAUCAGCACGCCGCGGUGAAUACGUUCCCGGGCCUUGUACACACCGCCCGUCACACCAUGAGAGUUUGUAACACCCGAAGCCGGUGGCGUAACCCUUUUAGGGAGCGAGCCGUCUAAGGUG